rnacentral:rRNA from 1 species
UACGAGGGCUUCGUAGCAGUAUCCGUCAUAACUAGGCUGUAAAGGGAGAGUAGGCUGUCCUAUUGUUAGUCUCCAAAUAAACACUAAAAUAUGGCUAAUGUAUGCAUUUGGACUCAGAGGAUUAUGGACGAUAGCGGUAACGUUUUGAAAACAGCAGUGUAAAUGUUAAAAAUUUCAGAAGGACCUACCAAAUGGCGGCUGCAGCUAUCGACAUACUUUUAUUUUAAACCUUGACGCUGAAGCUCUGAAAGUGUGGGGAGCAAACCGG